rnacentral:lncRNA from 1 species
AUUAAGAACCAUAAACUGUAUCACAGAGCCUAACCUAUUGUUAAUCACAUUCAGGGGAUUAAUUUAGGACUCACCGGUCAAAACAUGAUUUGUUACAAAGUUUUUCCGAUUGAUAUUCGUUGCUCGUGUUUGGCGCAAGUAGUCCCUAUUAUGCGAAUAUUAGGUUAGUUUCUUACUUUCUUUCUCAUAGUCACGGUUAGGAGAACUUUUGAUGCAUGGUUGCAGCUUCAAGAAGGCAUCAAUUAAUAGAGGUUUUAAAACUCCAACUACAAAACAUGACAACCAAACACCAAAAGACACCAUGAUUCAUUUUAUCAAACACCUUAGUUGCACAGUUUCCUGGCAAGAAAUAAAAGCUCAGGCAAAACCAUCAUAGUCUUUGAAGUUUGGCUACACACCACAGGUUCAAGACUAUCAAAUUAUAGAGGUUUUAAACAACAUAUACAACAUAUAUAAGACUUUUUGCACAUUGUACAACUACAUGAUGCGCAUUUGUG